UUCGUAGGUGGCCGGCUAAGUCAGACGUGAAAUCCCUCAGCUUAACUGGGGAACUGCGUCUGAGACUGGUCGGCUCGAGGGCAGGAGAGGAACGCGGAAUUCCAGGUGUAGCGGUGAAAUGCGUAGAUAUCUGGAGGAACACCGGUGGCGAAGGCGGCGUUCUGGACUGCAUCUGACACUGAGGAACGAAAGCCAGGGAGCAAACG
rnacentral:rRNA from 1 species